rnacentral:rRNA from 1 species
AGCUCCAAUAGCGUAUAUUAAAGUUGUUGCGGUUAAAAGCUCGUAGUUGGAUUUCUGUUGAGAACAGCCGGUCCACCUCUUGGGUGAGUAUCUGGAUUGGUCUCGGCAUCCUCUCGAAACUCGUUGCUGCGCUUGAUUGCGUGGUGCGGUGUUCGGGACUUUUACUUUGAGGAAAUUAGAGUGUUCACGGCAGGCAUUCGCCUUGAAUAUAUUAGCAUGGAAUAAUACUAUAGGAUCUUGGUUCUAUUUUGUUGGUUUCUAGGGCUAAGAUAAUAAUCAAUAGGGACAAUUGGGGGCAUUCGUAUUACGGCGUCAGAGGUGAAAUUCUUGGAUUGCCGUACGACGAACUACUGCGAAAGCAUUUGCCAAGGAUGUUUUCA